UAGGAGGAGUGGCCUUGGGCUAGGAUAACUGGUAGUUUGGGCUGAGGACCCUGGCAGCAGCUUUCAGCCCUUCUGACUUAAUUCACAUUUCUUGCUUUUUGUUGUUGUUUUAUUUGUUUGUGAUUCAUUUUUUAUUGUGAUUUACUUUUUCUGUGGAUUCUUUACUGAAGACAAAAUGGUCAGAAAGGAACUAAAGAAAAGAAAAUGAAGCUGUUGAAAAGGAGAAAGAAAAAUAAAGUCAGAAUAUUGUGGCUUAUAAAGAGCUGGUGCAGAUAGACAGUUGACAGGAGCAAGAAACUCCUGGAGGCCAAGUAUUUGGGUGCUGAAAAUGACCUUACUGAGUGGCUAAUGGAAAGAAAGCUAAAAAAUCCUAUGGUGGAUGCAUACUUUUGGAGAUGUACUGCUCUGCAGUUCUUCUAGGUCGAAUUUGGAACCAUCAGUUUAACCAAGUUGUUGAGACCAAUAGCUGUGGACAGAAGUUCAACAAGAGGCCAACAUUUUGCUGUGCGUCAGUGGAAGAACCCAGGUCCAUUCAACCUGAUUGCAUUACAAGUGGCUUUCUACAACGUAAGCUGAGUCUGCUAUGCACUGUUUCCUGUAUUGUGCUCUGGGAGGAUGGAGCUUGUUAUUUAAGUGCUUAAUACUGCAUCCAGAAUAUGCAGAGGCUAAAUUUAGCAAUGCCAAUUCGAACUCUUGGGUUUGGCUUGUUUGGUGUUUUUGAAUGGCAAGAAAGAAAAACAUACAGGGUAAAAAUGUGUACCUUAAAAAUAGUAUUGCAUUUGUAGAAUCAGAGUCUAUUUUAUAAACAAUUUAAUGGAAUUUCUGAAAAUGUUAUAUUCAUCU